GCGUGAGUGAAGAAGGCCUUAGGGUUGUAAAGCUCUUUCACCCGCGACGAUGAUGACGGUAGCGGGAGAAGAAGCCCCGGCUAAUUCCGUGCCAGCAGCCGCGGUAAUACGGAAGGGGCUAGCGUUGUUCGGAAUCACUGGGCGUAAAGCGCGCGUAGGCGGCCGGUCAAGUGCGGCGUGAAAGUCCUGGGCUCAACCCGGGGACGGCGCUGCGGACUGUCCGGCUGGAGUCCGGAAGAGGGUGGUGGAAUUCCGAGUGUAGAGGUGAAAUUCGU
rnacentral:rRNA from 1 species